CUACGGGCGGCAGCAGUGAGGAAUAUUGCACAAUGGGGGGAACCCUGAUGCAGCAACGCCGCGUGGAGGAUGACGCAUUUCGGUGUGUAAACUCCUUUUAUAUGUCAAGAAAAUGACGGUAGCAUAUGAAUAAGCACCGGCUAACUCCGUGCCAGCAGCCGCGUAAUACGGAGGGUGCAAGCGUUACUCGGAAUCACUGGGCGUAAAGGACGCGUAGGCGGGUUGGAAAGUCAGGUGUGAAAUCCUACAGCUUAACUGUAGAACUGCACUUGAAACUUCUAAUCUAGAGUAUGGGAGGGGGAGAUGGAAUUAGUGGUGUAGGGGUAAAAGCCGUAGAUAUCACUAGGAAUACCUAAAGCGAAGGCGAUCUCCUGGAACAUUACUGACGCUAAGGCGUGAAAGCGUGGGGAGCAAACAGGAUUAGAUACCCUAGUAGUC
rnacentral:rRNA from 1 species